rnacentral:lncRNA from 1 species
UAAAAUUCUAAAGACUAAGCAGGGUGGAGUAAAUCUAAAAUUCACAGACCUUGGACUUGGUAUGACUGUCCUUGAAUCUCUCCCUUUGGACUGACAUGUGGUGAGUGUUACAAGGGAAUCACUUUAAAAGACUGAUAUAUAUUAAUUUAAGGUCGCCAAGGAAUCAGCUAUGUAAUUCCUAAAUGAAAAACUCAAGUCAACCGUCAGCCUUUUUUGGAGUUUAAUUACAAUAGGAGCAAGAAAGGAAUUAGAGAUAUAUAUAGAGAGAGAAAGGGGAGAGAAGGGAAUAGGGCUUAAAUACCCCCUUCUGUUUAGGCUGGGCCAAAAGGCCCAAGCCCUUAGAUAGCUGGGGCAAAGAAAAGAGAUCAGUCCCUUUCACUCACGUGUCCAAAAUGGAGAAACAGUCUCAGAGGCCCCCACCUUCAGCUUCCUUCCAGAGCAAGCUUCCUCAGAGCCCAGGAACCACACCGACCAAAAACUCAAUCCUCUCCCCCGAGUCUCCAGACCCUCCUAUCUUUAAGGACACCAUCCAAGUUGCCUCCCCUCAGUCCUCACAUCUACCAAUCACUCUUCAUCAAUUUCCCUGUCAAUGGAGGCUCGCUCUCGCUUAACCCAGGACCGCCCAGAGGUUUCUGGCUUUUGCACAUGUCUGUUGAAGGUCAUAUUUUUCAAAUGAUUAAAUCUUUACUCCUUUGUUCCAGCCCUUUCUAAAUCCUGUUAACUUGAGUAUGGUAGAGAUUGGAAUAAUUAAAUUUUGAUCUAGGCUGCAGCCCUUACUCAAUCUUAUUAGGACUGAAUAGGGUGGAGUACCUCCAUUGUAUCAAUUCUAAAAUCAAUCAAGACUCAAAGAAAUUCCUGUUCUAUGCUCAAGCAUAGGUCAAAGUCCUUUCCAUUGUUCAGCAAAGGGUUUCUGUCCUAAAGUAAUCUUAAGAAGGGAAGAGAAGGAACCUCCCAUGCCAAUGGAGUUCCCAUUCCAAUAGACUAUCAGUAAGAAAUUUUCCAAGUAUGAAAUAUCCCAAUGGUGAAAUUUCCAACAUUUAUAAGUCUAAGGAAUUUUGAGGUUUACAUGAGUGAAAG